AUCUGCCAUUUUUCCACCCCUAGGUUCCUAAUAAUCAUGAGGUAUUUGUAAAUGCAUAUAUGAUUGAUCGUGUAAUAUUUGUGUCCUAUGCCUGGUUUGAUUAUUUACCAUAAUUUUCCCAGUUUUAUCAGUGUUGCAAAUGGUGAGGUGGUUUCUUUUUCUGAGUGUGUGUGCAUGUGUGCAUCCGUGUUUGUGUGUAUGCAUGUGUGUAUAUGUGUUCUAGCAUGUGUGUGUGUGUGUAUGUGUGUGUGUGUGUGUGUGUGUUUGUCUGUUUUUCUGUCUAUAUUGCCUACCUGUGACAAUAGAUUGUCAUUGUCCUUAGAAAGUCACUAUGAAUAGAUGUGUGUACAACACAGGAGGAAUAGGAUAUUAAGGAUUCUCUUAACAAUGAAAUGGUUUUAAAGUCAGAUGAGCAAGUCAAAAGGAUUGUAGUGUAUCUUAGUGCUUUUGGGCUGUGUGAACUGGAAAGCCUUGACUAAGCUCUCAGGCACUUGAAACUCAAGGUAUAUAUGAUCAAAUGCCAGCAAUUCAGUUCCCAGGUCUUUCCCUGCUUUUCAUACACAGCCCACUCAUGACAUCCUCACUUGGUCUGGCUUUAAUGCCCACUUUUGAGGAGAGAGAAGAAUACAUGUAUCUCUCCUUCUUUUAUGUACAGCCAUUGAUCUCCUUUUGGACACUAUACAUUCAUGUCCUAAUCUAAGCCUUCCUGGGAUACUUGCAAAUACUACAACACUGGGUACAAAGCUUUGACACAUGUAUUUGGGGCAACAGGAGCAUUUGGCCAAUGUGGCCCUUGAAUAAUAAGAGAUACUUCAUGGCCUUGAAUGGCAAAUGUGGGGUGGUUGUGUUCAGCUGAGUCAGAUGUUCAGAGCCAGAGUCCUGGUACUGGUUUGAACUCCACCUAGGUACUUGUUUCUUCCUGGUCUGGAUCACAAAACUCAUUUUUGCUUAGUUAAGAGGAACCAACAAAGGAAUACCAUUGUAUGAGUUUUGGAGGCAAGUAAAUACAUUGAUAUCCUUGAAUUCUUUUUCUAGUAGAGGCAGCAGAAUGGCUGGAUGUGAUAGGUAAUCUGGUAUAAAAUUAUAAAUUAUCAUUUGUGUUUGAGACCAGAUUCUUCUACUGAUUGUAUAUGUUAGGAACAUAUCAGUCAACCUUUCUGGAGCUUGUAUCUCUCUCUGUAAAAUAGCUCUCUGGAGCUAUGAUUUGCUUCAGAAUCUUGUUUGACUUUGCUGGGCUCCUGAACAACAACAACAAUAACAACAAUAACAACAGCAAAAAUCUAUCGCUCUUCAUAUAGUAACCCCAAGUAAAACUGCAUUAAAAUAAAACAAAUGAACAAAUAGUCAUAUGCGUAAAAUCCUAAUAUGUACCCAGAAUUAUCAAUUAGGCUGCAUGACAUAAACAUUUACUGUUGAUAUCAAUGAAAACUCGAGAUAAUUUAGCAAAAAUGCUCUGAAGCCUUGUAAAUAUCAUCCAACUGUGACUCGGAACAGUGGAACUUCCCCACGGGUGGGAACAUCUGGGCAGUACAUAGGCUUGAUUUCACAAAUUCCCCAAUUUGACACACACUUGCUUUGCGUCCUCCAUAUUUCAUUGUUUGAUUAAUAAACACAUAUUGUGUUGUUACCAGUGAUUUACUUGAUAAAUUUAUAAUUCAGUGCAUCCUUAAAGGGGAAUUGGCUACAUAGGUAAUCCUAUGUUAUUUUAAUACAAAAUAAAUAAAAAGACAAGUCCCUGAAGUGUUAACAAUCGCACCAGGGAGGGAUGGCGUAUAUAGUAAAAAGAUAAAUUGCUUCAGAUGAUGGUACGUGGCUAAGGGAUAAAGGCUCCUAGUGUUGAAAGUUGAGGUAGAGUAAGUAUACGGGUGGGAGUUGAGGAGAAGGUGAGGAAUGCCUCAGGCUACUAUUUAUUGUAUUGCAGAAGAGGUGGGAAUCACAAAAGCAGUGUAAGGAAGCCACAUGUGAAAAUGGUGAUUUAGAUAAAAAUAAGAGGGUUCUGAAUUCAGGAAAAAUCCAGGUCUAUUUGGAAAUAAUGCUUAUGUGAGUGACCAGUGGGACAGUGGCAGGAUAACUUCUUCUAAUGCAGGGCUGUGAUGAGGAAGGGGCAAUUCAAUAAUUGAGUGAAGAAUUUCAGAAGGAUUCUAGGCUUAAAGAAAACAUUUUCACUGGUAAAAUCACAAAAGGGUCCUAAAAAAUGGAGAAAAGACAAAAGCAAAGUAGAGAAAAGCUGUAGGAGAGCAAAAGACAGAACAAUAUAUCUCAGAGAUGGGUGAGCUUGGGAGAGCCAUGGUGAAGGCAGAGAUCAGGCUGAUUCUCUGUCCUGGAACUUGAGAAUGGGGAGGCAGGACAGAAAACAAAGGACUGAACAGGAGAGGGGGGGGAUUGAAGAGUUCAUGGGGAAAUAAUAAUAAUGAUGAUAAUAGCAAAGAUGAGGGGAACACAACACUUGUUCAAUGUGGAAAAUAAAAUACAGUUUAUUUAGUUAUUGUGUAGUAAGCUUACAGUUAAACCUACAAAGUCAAAUGUGCAGCAAAUUGCAACUGUUUUCACGUGUAUGACUCUCCAUUUCCAGAUGUCAUUCUCCAGUGAACGAUAAUGCAACACCAGUCAAUCCAGUGCCUGACUCUGCCUCGCUCUGUCUCCACUUCCAGAACUUUGGUACUACUAAAUGACAGAGGUGGCUAAAAAGGUAGACGUAUGCCUUUGGCUGGCACCUCUCUAUGUUGGCACAUGCCAAACCUUGCAGUUACCUAUCCAUCCAUAGCACCUCUAAGGCUUUUCUUCUUCUCACCUCUGAGGUUGCCAGGUCCUCCUAAGUCUUGCCAAAAGUCCUUUCUUUCACUGGAGCAUCAUAUGACUUAAACAGUUCAAGAGUGGGGAGAGUGAAGAUGUGAAGAAUGUGUAGGACAACAGAGUGCUAUCUUCUCAAUGACUGGCCGUCUGCCUGCAGUUUUGCCAUUUCUCUCCCCUGCUCUUAGACAACACAAAUGUAGCUGAGUGUUUUGUCUCCCCGUCCUUCCUCUCUUCAUCAGCUCAUUCCCAAGAAAUAGCACAAGUAAGGUGAACCUGUUUCUAAACUUCUUUUCUCUUCUCCAGCUAUUUUCUUCCAUUUUUCUAUUCUAUUCCCAACUCCAACAAAACAUGCGUUUCAUAAUUUUCCACCUGUGUUUAUGUGUCUUACCAGUAUUUGCUCCCUGUUUCAAAGUGCUGAGAAUAGUCCUUGACAUUUGGAUCAAAUGAAAAUUCAGAAUUGGGACAUGAUCAAUACCACCGUGGCUAUAACAAUCCUUGGGAUCUAGGGAAAGAGAGAGGAACUGUUGUGUAGUCUGUGUUGCUUACACUGUAGGUGACCCUUGGGGAUUGCUAAAGACUUCUCAUAUACUCCCAGGCUCGGUCAGAGCACAUAGAGCUAGAAUGAAGAUACUGGGGGCUGUUUCUAAUGUUUGCUCACUUCUAACCAUUAUAAGUGGUGCUUAGGUUCCUGUUUGAUUGUACAAUGGGAAACAGUUUGGCAUCCUCACAGAAGACUAUGACUCACCGUGGUUAAUGAUGUCCUUGAGAUAUUCAUACAGACAAAGAAGAGCCCAGAUGAAAAUUAUUACCCUGGGAGGUGCCAAGCUGCUAGAGAAAAGUCCAUCAGAAUGACUUCCAUGAUCAUUUCUUCUGCACUAAUAUCACUAAAUAUGCUACUAUUAGAACAAUAAGAGUACUGCUCCUUCCUGUACAUGUUAUUACUUUUGUAAAUUCCCUAUGCAAUAGUAUUUUGUCCUUCAGAUGUGCCACAGUAGCAGUCAGAAAAAUCACAACCACACUUUCAAAAAGCCCUAUCCUAAUUUUAUGUUGAAAUUAAUAUAACUUACAUAAGUGACUUCUGAUAUUUUUGUCUUUCACUUGGGGUUCUCGCCCCACAAAUCACAGACUUUUAAAACAAAUCCAAAUAAAAUAAUCACGAUGUUUAUCAACUGAAGUAUUUACAAGGAACAAAAUAUGCAAAGGAAGACCUUCUCUAUAUCUAUAAAGAGGGCCAAAAGGUUACACAACGAUGGAUUUCCUCAUCAGACCAAUUAUUGUAAGAAAGAGUUCAUAUUCUGGGUACUUUUCAUUUUAUUUUAAAUAUGAUUUUACGUCGAAUCUUCGAGAAUUUCACAUCAUGCACUUCAAUCCCACCCACCUUCCAGGCCUUCCAUAUCCACCCUCUACCCUUGAAGGCUCCCCAAAAGUAAACAAAAGAUUUAAAAAAUGAAAAUUAGAAAGGAAAAAGGAAAGAGGAAGGAAGGAAGAAACAAACAAAGAAAGGAAAAGAAAAACUAAAAAAAUCAUCUACUCCUCUGGGCUCUGGCUGGCUCCUUUAUCUACCACAGCCUUCUUCGCAGGCUCUAUUCUAUCCGUCUGUCUUUCCCACAUCUCCAUUACAAAUGCAUUCCGCAGUAGCAUUAAGUGUUGCAGUGUGUGUAGAGUACACCCUUUUGUCCAAAGUGCUUUACUUGUGAGUGUUCAUUGCAGUGAGUCCUUAAGCUAGUUUGAGGUUUCUGACUGCUGCUGUAACAUCAAUCUGGAUGCUCGUAGAGACUCCCAAAUAUCCUUCUGUUGCCCCUAAGUCAUGAGGCUCCUGCAGCUAUGGAUCCAAAGGACUGACCUCUUUUUUUUUUUUUAGAUUUAUUCAUUUAUUAUAUAUAAGUACACUGUAGCUGUCUUCAGACACCCCAGAAGAGGGCAUCGGAUCUCUUUACAGAUGGUUGAGAGUCACCAUGUGGUUGCUGGGAUUUGAACUCAGGACCUCUGGAGGAGCAGUCGGUGCUCCUAACCACUGAGCCAUCUCUCCAGCCCAGGACUGACCUCUUCAUGUGUUUCAGUACUUCAUAGAUGGGUACAUACUGGGGUAGACCAACUCAAAGCCCUUGAUCUGAGCCUGGGCGUACUUGAGCCAACUUUCCUGCCAACUUUCCUGUGCCCAUGCCAUCGGGGUCAUCUCUCCCACACACACUGCUGCCACAAGGGGUGGGGCCAGCUCUUCUGCACCCAUGCCAUUGGGGUCAACUCUGCUGAGCCCUCAUGACUACCAAGUGGUAGAUGAGUGUCAAGAACAGCUCUGACAUGCCUAUGUCACUGCUGGGGAGAAUGGGUGGUGCUGAUAGAAGGCAGAGACAGCUUAGAGCACCCCUGCGACAUCAAACUUGUUUCAGGCUACAGUACAGAUCACUGUUAUCCUCAUAGAUUUUGGUGUUAGCACGGGUAAGGGACUCCCACUGCAGCAGCAUCAUGGACCCAGAGGUAGCAGCAUAAGCAACGGAUCAUCAUGGCCUCUGGUGACCGCAUAGGCCCCUCACAUCACCACAAUCACAUCAUCUCCAGUUCUAUCUCUCUUCAUAGCCCACACACUGCUGGCCUUUUCUUUCUCUCCCAUCUCCACAGCACAUAUGUGUUCAUCUGCACGGGCCAUGUGUGGCUCAGGGUUUCUCUGGGUACUUUCUAAAAAAUAAAAAUUAAGCGAAGAUUUCCUUAAGUGGAGAUGACAUAGUAUAUUAAGUAACCAAGUAAUAUUCUGCUAACCAUGCACCAACCAUCAGGGAAACCUCACACAGGCAGUUUGUAGGACUGUGAUCGUUAUCCGGUGGAUUUUCGGUUAGGAUGAAUCCAGUUCUACCCUACUUCUUCAAGUUCCUCAACAUAGUGAUUGCCGCACAUCACUGUUCACGCAAUGAAUAGGGACCCAGCAGAAGAGAACACUAGCUCUGUUCUUGGGAACAUAGAGGAGAUAGUAUGUGAAAAGUGAGCUCAUCACCUUAAAACUGAAGCAUGUGGUACUAUGGAUUCCCCACGUCAUAGGAGAAUCUCCUCUGAAGUCUCAUAUCACCAUCCCGAGACUGUGUCAAGUCAGCUUGGGCAUUGGGUAUGAUUCAUUUCUAUAUUUCCAAAAAUGAGUACUAGAAACAAAAACUCAUGUUAAAAGUAGCUAAGUACAGCAUAGUAGCCAAGGAAGUACUGACUGGUGGACAAGGACGUGAACCUGGGAUGUUCUACAUUUCAUGAAGGUUAUCACCUGUACUCUAAGUUAGAUAAAUAGGUCAAUUGAAAGUACAGGAGACGACAGGUGGACAACACAAAUGAAUCGAGGAACUUCACGAAUCGUUAGCAGUUGGUUUCUAUUUCAGUGCUCAGUGUUUUCUAUUAGUACAACAGUUGGUAGGUAAACAAGAGCAACACCGGAAGACGCUACACUGCUAGAUACUUGGAAGUCAAAAGUGCAGUGGGAGAAUCUGCUAUGGAGCGCGCAUGCUCAGGAGAGUAUUUUGUCAUUAGCUUACUGUUGACGCUGAUCACGUUGCACAAAGGCUUCAGCUAAAGAAACAAACAAGAAAACUCCAGUGGAAAGUAAGAAUGACGUCUAUCUAAGGUCACCAUGGGUACUGUUAUCUCUGGUGCAGCAAGUGAACAUUUCCUGUCUUCUUAGCAGGCAUCAGGGUAUGCGCUAAAUGUCUUCUGUGAGUAAAUUACAAUCCUCACUCAAACAAAACAAAAGAGGAGUUUUUACAAGUGACACUGAAGCACAAAAUGGUGGACACUCGGUCAAGAAAAUCGUGGAAGUAGGAAACUGGAAUGCAGUGUCUAGCUGCUCAUUCCCCACCGCCAACUCUGUGUUCAUAGCUGCUCAUCUUCUUACACUGACCCACUACACCUAUCUUGGGAGAUCAAAUGGAAUUGAAGCCUGAGCUGGAAGUCAACAGAUUCCCUAGAGCAUGCACCUCUACAAAGGAAACACAAGAGCAUGGGAGAAGGCUUUCACCAUAAGGAUGGAAAAUUAACACUCCUCAGGCAGAGUCAGGAGGGUGUUUUCUCCUCCCCACUCCUGAUGCCCAGCAGUCACUGAAUGUAGUCAAAGAGCAUGGUGCUGGUACGCGUGCCUGUGCACUGACACCCACACUUUCCUGAGACAGCGAACAUACGAUGUUCUCAGCUCUUUUUCUCACUCAACCUAUAUUUUGGAGUGCUCUAUAGAUCUUUCAAGUAUCCCAGGAGCUGAGCGUAUGGCAUUAGCUGAAUGAAAAGAAGUACAUACAGGCUAGGAAGGAGAGUGCCACACCCUUGGGAUGAUAGGCAAGUGGUCUUCCUAGGCUGAUGUGUAAAUACAGAGCUGUUGACUCAUUCUCCAUAUUAACGGCUCCAACUUAGUGUUAAUAAAAUGAUUGUGGGAAAUUUCUUUCUUUUCUGGUAAAGUAUAAAUCAAGGAGGGCUUUCAGACACUAACUUCUCUCCAGAACUCUGUUUUGGUUAAAUUCCUUUUCUCUUUAUUUUAUUUAUGCCCGUCAUUCUUGGAAUUAUUUUGGGGUAUUAUUUUAUGAAGAAAGCACAGUAAUUAUCAAAAUUCCCCAAUAAGAUCCAGGCAAGAGCUGCCUUCACCUUUGUCCAUACGCUCAUUCUAACAUGUUUCCGCCUCUCAGCACUGGAGUGGAGGCAUGUGCUUGCCGUCACAUCAAGCAUAUACUGUGAGCACAGCAAAAUUCGACAGUGUCAGCUAACGACUAAACCAGAGUUGCAGAAGGAAGACGUGUUACAGGGAGACGCUCAAAAAAAAAUGUGUAAGGGGCCCAUUUUAUUUCCAAAGAAAAAUUUUAUUUCAAAGAAAGAAUAUUUAGCCAUAUUAGGUUUUUUAAGGAAUUACAUAUGAUUAACUCUUUACAUUAUCUUAUGGCAAUUAUACAGAAAUUUCUAUUUAUGUAAAUAAAGUAAAUUCAUCGUAACACCAGAAAAAAGUAUAUAAAAAUGGCAUGUCAAAUUAGGAUAUAUGCAUUUUCAGGGGAUGUGAUUUUCUAGCUAAACAGAUUAGUUUACAUUUUCCAAAAUAAAAAAUAAGUGGAAAUAACUAUAUAAAAUGAGGCUUACAGCUGGACAGAUCUUCUUGGCAGUGGUCCAGACACUGAAUAAGAAAAGCCCCUCCAGCUGAGGGGAGUAUAAGAUUCUCAGGACCAUUUUACAGGCCUGGCAUGGGAAGGAGGCCUUGGAAGGACUGCCUUAGCUAUGCAUCCUGAACUUGACUGCUACCUGUAGACAAGCACAACACAAACCACCCUGUGAGACUCACGCUGAGUGUGGCAGCAGUAGGGAACACUCUUGCUUAGUAGAAGAAAAACAGCAACAUAGCAACAUAAGACGAAGAUACCCAAAUUUUCCGCCCCAGACCAAAAAAACAAAAAAAAAAAAAACAAAAAAACCAAAAAACAAAACAAAACAAAAACAAAAACAAAAAAAAAAAAACAAAAAAAGAAAAAAAACAAAGAAAAAAAACAUAACAGAGAGUAGGAAAUUCCUAACUAAAAAGCAUGCGGUCAUUGCAGUCAUUGCCAUUCAACGCUAGGAUUUGAGAACCAUGGAUGGUUUGAUCGAAUACUGAAGCCCAGAUAACGAUUUCUUGGCUAAUGGGCGUGAAGCUGUUCUGAUGCUGAGAUUCAGACCUUUGCUACCGAAAUCUGAUGCUUAUUCCCAAGAUAAGUGAAACUCGACCUUCAAGAGUAAGCAUGAUGUCAAAGUGGCUCUCUAGACCCACAUCUUUACAAAAGUGCAUGGUACGUUUGAGGUGGCCAAUGCUUGGAAUAGCAUUCCCUUGCUUAGUGGUGUGCUUGGAAGCAUAGAGCUUGUUAAAACACUUCAACAGCACUCUGUGGGCAACUGGUUAUGCAGGGCAGUUUAUUUAUCUCUCAGCAUUAAGAGAAUGCAUUGGAUCAUCUUUUCUGUGUUUCCUCAAUACCCAUUUGCUGUUUGUUUUUGUUGAUGCAGCAGCGACUUUAUCCUCGGUCUUUUGGCUCUGACUUGGGAGUGGGGGAGCGCCACAAUUUUGUACUUUUAAAAUGCGCAUGUGUAUUUUAAUUUAGAUGAUAACUCAGACUGUGUUUGUUGAACCAUUACUCAGACUGUGUUUGUUGAACCAUUACUCUUCUCCUCGUGGUACACACAUAAAAUUCCUUUUCACCUUCCACUGGAUGACUUGUCUGAAGCAGAAUGUGGAAUCCAUUGCUCGCUUUGUAAAUAAAGCUUUAUUGGAACGAA